UACGUAGGGACCAAGCGUUGUUCGGAUUUACUGGGCGUAAAGGGCGCGUAGGCGGCGUGUCAAGUCAAUUGUGAAAUCUCCGGGCUUAACUCGGAACGGUCAAUUGAUACUGAUGUGCUAGAGUGCAGAAGGGGCAAUCGGAAUUCUUGGUGUAGCGGUGAAAUGCGUAGAUAUCAAGAGGAACACCUGAGGUGAAGACGGGUUGCUGGGCUGACACUGACGCUGAGGCGCGAAAGCUAGGGUAGCAAACGGG
rnacentral:rRNA from 1 species